UGCUGAGGAGUCCCACAAUAGGACGAAACAGUUGUCCA
rnacentral:hammerhead_ribozyme from 1 species